rnacentral:rRNA from 1 species
AUACGUAGGGGGCAAGCGUUAUCCGGAUUUACUGGGUGUAAAGGGAGUGUAGGUGGUCUGGCAAGUCAGAUGUGAAAGCCCGCGGCUCAACUGCGGGACUGCAUUUGAAACUGUCAGACUGGAGUGCAGGAGAGGAAAGUGGAAUUCCUAGUGUAGCGGUGAAAUGCGUAGAUAUUAGGAAGAACACCAGUGGCGAAGGCGGCUUUCUGGACUGUAACUGACACUGAGGCUCGAAAGCGUGGGGAGCAAACAGGAUUAGAUACCCUGGUAGUCCACGCAGUAAACGAUGAUGGCUAACCGCUGGUUUAUUCGGAUCAGUGGCCAAGCGAAAGCGAUAAGCCAUCCACCUGGGGAGUACGACCGCAAGGUUGAAACUCAAAUGAAUUGGCGGGG